CAGAGAGCUUGCUCUCGGGUGACGAGUGGCGGACGGGUGAGUAAUGUCUGGGAAACUGCCUGAUGGAGGGGGAUAACUACUGGAAACGGUAGCUAAUACCGCAUAAUGUCGCAAGACCAAAGAGGGGGACCUUCGGGCCUCUUGCCAUCAGAUGUGCCCAGAUGGGAUUAGCUAGUAGGUGGUGUAACGGCUCACCUAGGCGACGAUCCCUAGCUGGUCUGAGAGGAUGACCAGCCACACUGGAACUGAGACACGGUCCAGACUCCUACGGGAGGCAGCAGUGGGGAAUAUUGCACAAUGGGCGCAAGCCUGAUGCAGCCAUGCCGCGUGUAUGAAGAAGGCCUUCGGGUUGUAAAGUACUUUCAGCGGGGAGGAAGGUGUUGUGGUUAAUAACCACAGCAAUUGACGUUACCCGCAGAAGAAGCACCGGCUAACUCCGUGCCAGCAGCCGCGGUAAUACGGAGGGUGCAAGCGUUAAUCGGAAUUACUGGGCGUAAAGCGCACGCAGGCGGUCUGUCAAGUCGGAUGUGAAAUCCCCGGGCUCAACCUGGGAACUGCAUUCGAAACUG
rnacentral:rRNA from 1 species